CUUGCAUAUUCCAUAUCGAACACCGCUGCUUCUGCUUCACGUUGCAUUAUAUAUUGACUCAAGCCAAUGGGUAGUCCACCUUGCUGUUGAUCUCCUCCUAUAAGAGACCCUCCAAAGAAUACGCCCUAAUCAUCGGAAAUCAAAUUGGGGAAAAAGAGAAGAGAAGAGAAGAGAAGAAGAGAAGGAGAGGUCGGUUAACAUUGAAGUGGAGAGGGUUCUAAAAACUCUUUAAGAAGAAGGAUAUAUUGGAGAAGAGAACCAAAAGCCAAACUCCUUUAUUUUUAUUUUAUUUUGCUUCUCCUUAUUUAUUAGUUUUGUAUAAAUAAUGUUUCUUCUACCUUAAAAUAUUAGAAGACGACUUUGUUUUUUUGUAUAAAAACCCAAGAAAAAUAUUCUGAUAAAGCGGUCAAGAACAUGUCCUUUUCCCUCCUU